rnacentral:rRNA from 1 species
AUUGAACGCUGGCGGCGUGCCUAACACAUGCAAGUCGAGCGGUAACAGGUGUAGCAAUACAUGCUGACGAGCGGCGAACGGGUGAGUAAUGCUUCGGAAUCUACCCAAUGGUGGGGAAUAACCAGCCGAAAGGUUGGCUAAUACCGCAUACGUCCCACGGGAGAAAGCAGGGGAUCGCAAGACCUUGCGCCAAUGGAUGAGCCGAAGUCGGAUUAGCUAGUUGGAGGGUAACGGCCUACCAAGGCGACGAUCCGUAGCUGGUCUGAGAGGACGACCAACCACACUGGGACUGAGACACGGCCCAGACUCCUACGGGAGGCAGCAGUGGGGAAUAUUGGACAAUGGGGGAAACCCUGAUCCAGCGACGCCGCGUGUGUGAAGAAGGCCUGCGGGUUGUAAAGCACUUUUAGUGGGGAUGAAAUGUUCAGGGUUAACACCUCUGGAUUUUGACCUAACCCACAGAAAAGCACCGGCUAACUCUGUGCCACGCCGCCG